GAUGAAGAACGCAGCGAAAUGCGAUAAGUAAUGUGAAUUGCAGAAUUCAGUGAAUCAUCGAAUCUUUGAACGCACAUUGCGCCCCCUGGUAUUCCGGGGGGCAUGCCUGUCCGAGCGUCAUUGCUGCCCUCAAGCACGGCUUGUGUGUUGGGCCCCGUCCUCCGAUCCCGGGGGACGGGCCCGAAAGGCAGCGGCGGCACCGCGUCCGGUCCUCGAGCAUAUGGGGCUUUGUCACCCGCUCUGUAGGCCCGGCCGGCGCUUGCCGAUCAACCCAAAUUUUUUAUCCAGGUUGACCUCGGAUCAGGUAGGGAUACCCGCUGAACUUAAGCAUAUCAAUAAGCGGAGGA
rnacentral:misc_RNA from 1 species